rnacentral:piRNA from 1 species
UGGGUAAGCUCUGGGCCCUACGGUAACUGU